UACAGAGGUCCCAAGCGUUGUUCGGAUUUACUGGGCGUAAAGGGCGCGUAGGCGGUCAGCACAAGUCAGUUGUGAAAUCUCCGGGGCUUAACUCGGAAAGGUCAACUGAUACUGUGCGACUAGAGUGCGGAAGGGGCAACUGGAAUUCUCGGUGUAGCGGUGAAAUGCGCAGAUAUCAGGAGGAACACCGAUGGCGAAGGCAGGUCGUCUGGGCCACUACUGACGCUGAGAAGCGAAAGCAUGGGGGAGCGAACAGG
rnacentral:rRNA from 1 species